rnacentral:misc_RNA from 1 species
GAUGAAGAACGUAGCGAAAUGCGAUAAGUAAUGUGAAUUGCAGAAUUCAGUGAAUCAUCGAAUCUUUGAACGCACAUUGCGCCCGCCAGUAUUCUGGCGGGCAUGCCUGUCUGAGCGUCAUUUCAACCCUCAUGCCCCUAGGGCGUGGUGUUGGGGAUCGGCCAAAGCCCGCGAGGGACGGCCGGCCCCUAAAUCUAGUGGCGGACCCGUCGUGGCCUCCUCUGCGAAGUAGUGAUAUUCCGCAUCGGAGAGCGAUGAGCCCCUGCCGUUAAACCCCCAACUUUCCAAGGUUGACCUCAGAUCAAGUAGGAAUACCCGCUGAACUUAAGCAUAUCAAUAAGCGGAGGA